AAUAAGUGCAGCUAUAAGUUUUCGCGUUCAACUUUAAUCGUCCGUUUUAUUUGAAAUUUUUUUAUAAUUAGUAUUUUUGUUCUAUGAGAUGAUAAAACAUGAAUAAUACUUUACUCGUGACUUAUGUUUUGAAUUUUUUUUAAAAAAAAUUUUAAAUAAGACGAACGGUUAAAAUUAGGCGCGGAAAACCAUAACUACACUUAUU
rfam:Oryza sativa Japonica Group DNA, chromosome 3, cultivar: Nipponbare, complete sequence.